rnacentral:lncRNA from 1 species
CUAUUUUUUUUUUUAUUUGUUAAUAAAAAGAUAAAUUUAAAAAUAAAAAUACACCGUUCUUUUGGGCUAAUAUUAUUAUUAGAACUACAUUUUUUUUUCUAUUAUUAUAUAUACUUUUUCUUAUUUGUUAUAUAUAUUUUAUUUUUUUAUAAUUAGUUGUCACUUUCUAUUUGAGAUAUUUUUUUAGAAUGUGGUUAAUAACGCUGAUAACAUCACUCAUUUUUGUUGAGUGUGUGACUGUUGUUUAUAUACCAUCGUUUAUACGGACUAAUUUAUACAGAAAAAAAAAAAAUAGAUUUAUAAACAUGGAAAAUUUUGAAAAUUUAGCAAGUGGUAAUGAAAAUAUAAAUCACAAUUAUUGUAUUUUUACCGAAAUUAAUCUAAAAAUGAGUGUUUAUAUAUUUUUUCUUCUUCAACCUUUAUUAUUUAUUUUUUAUAUACAUAUUCAAUUUCCCCUUUUUAAUUUUUUUUUUUUUUUCUUAGGUGCAAUUUUAGCUUUAGCAUUUACACAUAUGUUACCAGAAAUUAUAACCUUAUCUAACAAAAAUGAUGUUAACAUAUAUUAUAUUUUUCUUUUAAUACUUGUAUCAGUAACAUUUUUGAAUAUAACUGAUAUGUUACAUGAUAUCCACCAUUUUGAAAAUAGUUUAAAUAAAACUGACUAUCCAGUGGAACUUAAAAACAAAAGUAAAAGUAUUAACGACAAAGAUGUUGUAGAUCAAAUAAACUACAAAAGAACUUCUAUAAAUGAUAAUGAAGAUUUAGAACAUGGUUCAUUAAAUUAUGAAGAUAAUAAAAAUGUAGUAGAAUAUAAUUUGCUUAAUGAUGUUUUUAAAUCAAAUACAAUUUUUAUUGUUUUUAGCCUUUUUAUUCAUUCUUUUAUAGAAGGUAACAUAUGCCCAAAAAAAAAAAAUAAAUAUACAUUUUUAUUCUAAACAUAGAUUUUAUUAAUAUGCAUCAUGUAUCUUCUCUUAUAAAUAUAUAAAGUUACACAAUAAAUAGU